AAGCAGGAUCUAGUUACAAUGUAGCUGUGAAGUGCCUCAUUGUCUUUGCCCCCUGCUCAAAAUAAGACUGUUUCCUUUCAAGCCCUGUCAGCCAUGGUGGUGCUGUAGCAGCCAGGGAUGCAUGGUCUCAUACAC